rnacentral:rRNA from 1 species
UACAGAGGGUGCGAGCGUUAAUCGGAAUUACUGGGCGUAAAGCGUGCGUAGACGGUUAUUUAAGUCGGGUGUGAAAUCCCCGGGCUCAACCCGGGAACUGCGUCCGAGACUGGCAGGCUCGAAUCCGGGAGAGGGAUGUGGAAUUCCAGGUGUAGCGGUGAAAUGCGUAGAUAUCUGGAGGAACACCGGUGGCGAAGGCGGCAUCCUGGACCGGUAUUGACGCUGAGGCGCGAAAGCCAGGGGAGCAAACGGG